CCAACUACAACACUUCAAACAACACAUUUCCAACAUACAUUGUUCAAAUCACAACAUAAACCCAUAAACCUAACAACAAGCCUAAACAUGCAUUCUACCCCAUCAACUUGCAUAAAACCUUCAUAAAACAUAAAAGAAGCAUAGAUCGAAGCUUACCUCUUGAAGAUCUAGAGGAAGAACGACCCUAGCUCGGAAAAUGGAGGGAUUUAGCUCCAAGACUUCCAAGCUCCAAACUUGCUUAAAAACACUCAAAAACUUUUGUGGAACCUUAAAACUCAAAGAAAAUAGUGGGGAUUGAAGGAAAAACACAAGAUUUGGGAGAGGGAGG
rnacentral:lncRNA from 1 species